UACGUAGGGUGCGAGCGUUGUCCAGAAUUACUGGGGCGUAAAGAGCUCGUAGGUGGUUUGUCGCGUUGUCCGUGAAAACUCACAGCUUAACUGUGGGCGUGCGGGCGAUACGGGCAGACUGGAGUACUGCAGGGGAGACUGGAAUUCCUGGUGUAGCGGUGAAAUGCGCAGAUAUCAGGAGGAACACCGGUGGCGAAGGCGGGUCUCUGGGCAACAACUGACGCUGAGGAGCGAAAGCGUGGGGAGCGAACAGG
rnacentral:rRNA from 1 species